rnacentral:tRNA from 1 species
GGGCCUCUAGCUCAACUGGCAGAGCAACGGACUUUUAAUCCGUGGGUUCAGGGUUCGAGCCCCUGGGGGCCCA